GUCUUCGUGGUGUAGCGGUAGCACAUUCGGCGUGUACUCGAGAGGUCCAGGUUCGAGUCCUGGCGACGGCA
rnacentral:tRNA from 1 species